rnacentral:rRNA from 1 species
GACGAACGCUGGCGGCGUGCUUAACACAUGCAAGUCGAACGGAAAGGCCCCUUUGGGGGUACUCGAGUGGCGAACGGGUGAGUAACACGUGAGUAACCUGCCCUUGACUUCGGGAUAACUUCAGGAAACUGGGGCUAAUACCGGAUAGGAAUCCUUGCUGCAUGGUGGGGGUUGGAAAGCUUCGGCGGUUUUGGAUGGACUCGCGGCUUAUCAGCUUGUUGGUGGGGUAGUGGCUUACCAAGGCUUUGACGGGUAGCCGGCCUGAGAGGGCGACCGGCCACAUUGGGACUGAGAUACGGCCCAGACUCCGACGAGAGGCAGCAGUGGGGAAUAUUGCACAAUGGGCGGAAGCCUGAUGCAGCAACGCCGCGUGCGGGAUGACGGCCUUCGGGUUGUAAACCGCUUUCAGCAGGGGCGAAGCUUGUGGUGACGGUACCUGCAGAAGAAGCACCGGCUAACUACGUG